rnacentral:rRNA from 1 species
GAUGAACGCUGGCGGCGUGCCUAAUACAUGCAAGUCGAGCGAACAGACGAGGAGCUUGCUCCUCUGACGUUAGCGGCGGACGGGUGAGUAACACGUGGAUAACCUACCUAUAAGACUGGGAUAACUUCGGGAAACCGGAGCUAAUACCGGAUAAUAUAUUGAACCGCAUGGUUCAAUAGUGAAAGACGGUUUUGCUGUCACUUAUAGAUGGAUCCGCGCCGCAUUAGCUGGUUGGUAAGGUAACGGCUUACCAAGGCAACGAUGCGUAGCCGACCUGAGAGGGUGAUCGGCCACACUGGAACUGAGACACGGUCCAGACUCCUACGGGAGGCAGCAGUAGGGAAUCUUCCGCAAUGGGCGAAAGCCUGACGGAGCAACGCCGCGUGAGUGAUGAAGGUCUUCGGAUCGUAAAACUCUGUUAUUAGUGAAGAACAAAUGUGUAAGUAACUAUGCACGUCUUGACGGUACCUAAUCAGAAAGCCACGGCUAACUACGUG